UAUUCGUCAAUGGGGGAAACCCUGAACGAGCAAUGCCGCGUGAACGAUGAAGGCCCUUCGGGUUGUAAAGUUCUGUUGUUUGGAAAGAACAUCGCAUAUAGGAAAUGAUAUGCGACUGACGGUACAAUUCAAGAAAGCCACGGCUAACUACGUGCCCGUAGCAGAGGUAAUAAGUAGGUGGCGAGAGUUAUCCAGAUUUAUUGGGCGUAAAGCGUCCGCAGCCGGUUUAUUAAGUCUAAGAUUAAAGCCCGAAGCUCAACUUCGGUUCGUUUUAGAAACUGGUAGACUUGAGUGUGGUAGAGGCAAGUGGAACUUCUAGUGUAGCGGUAAAAUGCGUAGAUAUUAGAAAGAACACCAGUGGCGAAGGCGACUUGCUGGGCCACCACUGACGGUCAGGGACGAAAGCGUGGGGAGCAAAUAGGA
rnacentral:rRNA from 1 species